ACUGCCCGGUGAUAAGCCGAGAGGAAGGUGGGGAUGACGUCAAAGUCCUGCAUUGCCCUUAACGGCUGGGCUACACACGUGCUACAAUGGUGGUGACAGUGGGCAGCGAGACAGCGAUGUCGAGCUAAUCUCCAAAAGCCAUCUCAGUUCGGAUUGCACUCUGCAACUCGAGUGCAUGAAGUUGGAAUCGCUAGUAAUCGCAGAUCAGCAUGCUGCGGUGAAUACGUUCCCGGGCCUUGUACACACCGCCCGUCACACCAUGGGAGUUGGUUUUACCCGAAGGUAGUGCGCUAACCGCAAGGAGGCAGCUAACCACGGUAGGGUCAGCGACUGGGGUGACCUCGUAACAAGGU
rnacentral:rRNA from 1 species